rnacentral:rRNA from 1 species
UACGUAGGGUGCAAGCGUUUAAUCGGAAUUACUGGGCGUAAAGCGUGCGCAGGCGGUUUUGUAAGUCUGUCGUGAAAGCCCCGGGCUCAACCUGGGAAUUGCAUUUGAGACUGCGUAGCUAGGGUGCGGAAGAGGGAAGCGGAAUUUCCGGUGUAGCGGUGAAAUGCGUAGAUAUCGGAAGGAACACCAGUGGCGAAAGCGGCUUCCUGGUCCAGCACCGACGUCAGGCACGAAAGCGUGGGGAGCAAACAGG